CUUGCUAGAUUGAUGGCGAGUGGCGAACGGGUGAGUAAUACAUCGGAACGUGCCCUGUAGUGGGGGAUAACUAGUCGAAAGAUUAGCUAAUACCGCAUACGACCUGAGGGUGAAAGUGGGGGACCGCAAGGCCUCAUGCUAUAGGAGCGGCCGAUGUCUGAUUAGCUAGUUGGUGAGGUAAAGGCUCACCAAGGCGACGAUCAGUAGCUGGUCUGAGAGGACGAUCAGCCACACUGGGACUGAGACACGGCCCAGACUCCUACGGGAGGCAGCAGUGGGGAAUUUUGGACAAUAGGCGAAAGCCUGAUCCAGCAAUGCCGCGUGUGUGAAGAAGGCCUUCGGGUUGUAAAGCACUUUUGUCCGGAAAGAAAUGGCUCUGGUUAAUACCUGGGGUCGAUGACGGUACCGGAAGAAUAAGGACCGGCUAACUACGUGCCAGCAGCCGCGGUAAUACGUAGGGUCCAAGCGUUAAUCGGAAUUACUGGGCGUAAAGCGUGCGCAGGCGGUUGUGCAAGACCGAUGUGAAAUCCCCGAGCUUAACUUGGGAAUUGCAUUGGUGACUGCACGGCUAGAGUGUGUC
rnacentral:rRNA from 1 species